rnacentral:rRNA from 1 species
GACGAACCGAGCGAACGUUGUUCGGAAUCACUGGGCUUAAAGGGCGCGUAGGCGGGCUGACAAGUCUGGGGUGAAAUACCACGGCUCAACCGUGGAACUGCCUCAGAUACUGUCGGCCUCGAGGGAGGUAGGGGCGUGCGGAACUGUAGGUGGAGCGGUGAAAUGCGUUGAUAUCUACAGGAACUCCGGUGGCGAAAGCGGCGCGCUGGACCUCUUCUGACGCUGAGGCGCGAAAGCUAGGGGAGCAAACGGG